rnacentral:miRNA from 1 species
UGGCACUGCAGAUGUUUUGAACUACACCUUCCAUGAUGCUCUUACAGCAUUAUAGGGGCUGUAGUCCACAACAUCUGGAGUGCCA